rnacentral:lncRNA from 1 species
AUGUUUACAUUACAAACCCCAUUUGUAAAAGAAGCCUCUUUGUUGGAGACCAACGAUGUAGAUUGGAAAGAUAAACAGGGAAACCCUCAUGUGUCUAAAGUGUUUGUGCUCCUCUGUAGCUCUGAUUCUGUGGCGCGGGCAUUGCUUCGUAACACAAAGCAAUUUAAUGGUUUUUACGGAUGUGAUUUUUGCUAUCACAAAGACGGCAAAGUAUAUUCAUACACCAGACCGGAACCCCCUCUAUGUAAUGAGAAGGACCAUUUUAGUCAUGCAAUGUCAGCAACAGUGGAUGCACCUGUAUUUGGAGUUGGAUGCCCAUCUCCUUUGAUGAAGCUCAGUUGCUUUCAAAUGGUAAAUGGCUUCAUUCCUGAAUAUCAACACAAUGUGUGCCUUGGCGUCACCCGUCAACUGGCUCGGUGGUUCGAUUCUACAAACAGUGAUGCUUCUUGGUACAUUGGUAAACAGAUUGAAGACGUUGAUUUGGGACUUGAAAAGAUAAAGCCUCCUGUUGAGAGAACAAGAACUCCUAGAUCUAUAAAGGGCAAUACAUUUUGGAAGGCUUCAGAGUGGCAAGCUUUCUUACUUUUUUAUGCCUUGCCAACAUUAAAAGGAAUUCUUCCAGCUAGAUUUUGGAAUAAUCUGUUCCUUUUGGUAUUUAGCAUAUACACACUACUACAAGACAAGAUCCAGACAUGCGCAAUCAUGAAGGCAGAACUGGCACUCAAAACAUGUGUUAUUGACUUUCAGAGACUCUACGGAAAUGACAACAUGACAUUCAAUAUCUAUUUGCUUACCCACGUCCCACAAAGUGUUAAAAACUGGGGGCCAUUAUGGGCUACUUCUACUUUUCCAUUCGAGUCCAAUAUCGGAACUCUCCUUAAGCAUUUUCAUGGGACACAAUCUGUCCCAUUUCAAAUAGUCAGCAGAUUUCUGUUGUGGCGAGAACUUCCAGACAAAGCUAAACAAGCAAUAACAUCUGGAAAUCCAAAAGUUGAGUUAUUUGUUAAAAAACUGUGUUCCUAUGGCCAAAGAACAGAAAAAUGUGUCGUACUUAAUGGAAGUGUCAAGGGUUUUGGCAAUAUUCCUUGGCAGGAAAACAUCCCAGCUUUACAUCGGCUUGCCAUUGGAAAACUAUGUGAAAAUCUAAGUAACUGGUUCUGGUAUGACAUGCGUUUUUUGGUUAACAGGGUUUUGUUUCACAGUCAGAAUUACGAACGGCUGAAUAAAAGGUUCAACAGUGCUGUAUCUUUGAAUGAUGGUAAAUUGUUUUUAAUUAAUGACUUGGUUGUCUUUAAAGAAAAGUGUGCACAGGAAAACCCAGAAUACUGUGCAUGUAUCAAACAUGCUUGUGUCUUUGUAGAGGAGCUGAGUAAAUCCAACAGACCAUUGUGUAAAGAUUCAAAGAUUAAUGUAGAGAGUACUUUCAUUCACGAAGUUAAAAAGACUGGAAAUGUGUGUGCCAUUUGGCCUGAUAUGAUACUAAAGAAAAGUGUUGUUAUUGAAACUGAUGAACUAUGA